rnacentral:rRNA from 1 species
GUAGGGAAUAUUGCGCAAUGGACGAAAGUCUGACGCAGCGACGCCGCGUGAGUGAUGAAGGCCUUAGGGUCGUAAAGCUCUGUUGAAUGGGAAGAAAAAAAUGACGGUACCAUUCGAGGAAGGACCGGCUAACUUCGUGCCAGCAGCCGCGGUAAUACGAGGGGUCCUAGCGUUGUUCGGAAUCAUUGGGCGUAAAGGGUGUGUAGGUGGCCAUGUAAGUCAGGUGUGAAAGCCCCGGGCUCAACCCGGGAAUUGCACUUGAUACUGCGUGGCUUGAGUACCGAAGAGGGUAGUGGAAUUCCAGGUGUAGUGGUGAAAUACGUAGAUAUCUGGAGGAACACCGGUGGCGAAGGCGGCUACCUGGUCGAGUACUGACACUGAGACACGAAAGCAUGGGGAUCAAACAGGAUUAGAAACCCCAGUAGUCC